CGCCGCCCGGAGCGCGCCCCCCGCCCUGCCGCCGAGUUGCAAGCUAGCGAGCGCAGUGCAAACUUGCAAGUUUCCCUCCGCCAGGGGUUCCCGGGAGCCGCGCGGGGGCGGCGGGGGAGGGGGCGGGGGGGCGCGGGCGGGCGAGGCCGGGGCCGAAUUCCUUCCCCCCCCGCCCCCAAAAAACUACCCGGCGAAGCAGGCGGAGAGGAGGGCUGCCGCACCGGCACGGCCGGGCCAUUGUCUGGGCGGCCACACAAAGCGGCCAGCGGCGCUGCGCGCCGACCCUGGGUGACACGUGGGGAAACUGAGGCCCAGAGUGGCCACGAGCCCUGUCGCGGCAGCAUCGGCUCAGCUCCGUGGUCUGGGGAGUGUCUUACUUUCUGGAGCCCCCCAGUCCGCCCCCACUUUCCCGCUUGGGACUAGCAGAGACCGAAGGGCACCCCCAGCCCCGCCCCCAGCCGCCGCCGCCGGGCAGGGGGGUAGGGGCUCACGCUGUGCUGAGCGGUGGCCCGGGCUUCAGGGAGCCCUGUCGAAAGGCACCGGGCCGGGGACGAGCUGCCACCACCAGAUGGGUGCUGACUCUGUGGCCGGUGGCUAUUUUUACGCCUCGGAUAGUCCUCUGCCCUGACUUUUAAAUUCAUGACUCGUUUGUUUAAAAGCGAAAGGAAGGACGCCUGACCCUGCCGCUGGAGUUGGGGUUCGGGUGUGAGUUACCUGCGCGGAGCAGAGCCUCCUGAGCAGGCGCAGCCCAGGCGCCAGGCUGUGCUUCCCUCCUCACCCCACCCCUGCCCCGCCCCACCGCUUGCUGCCAUGGGACACCUAUAUUCCCAAAGGGAUCACCACGGCCCUUGACAAGAGAGGAAGUCCUACCUGCCACCUGUGAGACCUGGAGAAGCCUCAUCACCCCUCUGGGCUCUACCUGCCCUCUGUGGAAUGGAGGAGCAACAGGACCACCUCCCACUGGGCAGCCAGGAGUCAGAUGCCACCGGGGCCAUUGAGAUCCCUCCAGGAGGAAGACCCCAGAGCCACCUGGGGCAGGAGCAGGGGGGAAAGCGCUGGUUGGGGAGCCCUCCCUCCCCCAGCGCAACCACAGGUCAUGGCCCAGGCUUGUCCUGUCCUCCUGGCUUCUGCUUGACCUGUGCUCCCCUCCCCCACUCUAGAAAGUCUCCUGGUUGCUGGAUCCUGGGCCACCUGCCCACUGCGCCCGGUCCACCACCAUCCCCUGCCCCAAGCAGCAGCCUAUUUAAUUGUGGUUCUCAUCCACUGUCAUCACAGCAAACCCACCCCCCCCCUUCCCAAACCACGGCCACCCGAUUCUAAACCUGGUUUCCUCCUGCCAGGGCUGGGGGCUGGCAAGCAUGCAGGAAGGAGCAGCCAUGGUGCUGCCGUGUCUGGGGAGAAAGCCCCACUUCGAAGGCCUGUCUCCAGCUCCUCUGGCACAGCCCUACGCGUGUGCACCCAUCGUCCUGUCCUGUCCUCCUGACCUGUAGCGGACCUCGCCUCUCCUGGCAAGGAGGAGGCCAGAUGCCCUGGUCAUAGGUGACCCGGAGCCAUGGCACCCACUUCCUUGCUGAUCAUCCCAACAACCUGUGGGCAGCGGGCGCUGCCAUUCCACCUGGCUGGUAAGGACAGCAAGGCUAGGAGAGGGGACACCGUGGGACACGUCACUCUGUGGCAAGGGGGGAAGCUAACCUUUGAGCCCAAGGCCUGUCCUUGGAACCUCUGGGCCACCGAGGGGGUAAGUUUGCCCAGGCCUCAGGGGUCCCCAGUGACCUUCGAUGCAGCACUGCCUUCCUGCCCCACCCCGUGGGGACAGGCCACCCAUGCUGUGUCGCCCCAGGUCAUGAGAUGGAGAAGGCGAGGCUGCGUGGGUGGGGGUGAGGGGGUGAGUGGUCCCCAUGUCCAAUGCCGGAGGUCAGUCAUUCAUUCGACAAACAUCUGCUGAGCGCUCACCACGAGGCCAGACCCUGUGCUCGGGCUGGGUCCUCGGGUGGAGGUGUGGUCCCAGCUGGACGGGCGUGGGUGGGAUCCCAGCUCUGCCUCUCACCAGCUGUGUGGCCCGGUCCGUCACUCCCUUCUCUGUGCCUCAGUCUUCUCAUCUGUGAAGUGGGCAUGGCCACCCCCUCCCGCUGAGUCACAGAGGUGGCUCAGUGAGGUCAUACAGGCAGGGUCUGGCCUCAAGGAAGAGGAGCUCUGUAAGUGAUGCUGCGACCACUGCUGUCAUCGCUGGCUUAGGCCCCUGGGAGCCCCAGCGCAGAGGGCAGGUAAGACACGCCCACAGGAGCUGCUGUUUGAGACGGAGAGUCACGGGCAGUCCGGGAGUGGGAGAACAGUGACCGGAGGGUGAAGACGUGUCCAGCCAGGGGGCCUGGACAGCUUCUGGGCAUGGCUGGUUCCUGAGCUGAGUUUCGAAGGAGGGAGGUUUUCAUCAGAUAGAAGCAGGGCUGAGAGCACUGCAGGCAGAAGGACCAGUAUGAGCAGGGCCCGGAGGUGGGAGGUAGUCGGCACGUCGCAGGAACAGCCCGUUCAGCGGGCAGGUCGGAACACGCCGGGCAAUUGUGGGAAAGCUGGUCCUGGAGGCCUCGAAGGCUGAGCUCAAGCAUCCGAAGUCACCUGCUUGAGACAGUGGGUAGCCUGGGACCUGGGCGCCCAGCCCCACUCCUCCCACCCCCUGGCCACGGAAAACUUGAGACUCCAUUCGGAACUGUUGGCGCCUGGAGCCAGGGAGCCACACGCAGGGGGAUCCGCUGAGGAUGCGAGAGGGGGCCUCUAUUCCUCAGAGACCCGCGAAGGCGUCCCCCAGCCCCAGCCUCUCCCAGGGCUCCAGGCCGCGGGCACAGUGGGGCGAGCCCGGAGUCCAGAGCCCUGCCGACCUGGCUCCAGUCCAGCCUCAGGGCCUACAGAGGCUCAGCCUCACCUCCCCAUCUGCGGAGGGGCGGGGGGCAAGGGUGCUCCGGGAGCCGGCCGGCUGGGACCGGGAAAGGGAGCCAGCUGCAGGGGAGGCGAAGGCCCCGCUCCCUGCUGGCGAGUGUGCACGCUGUGUGGUAUGCCUAGUCCUCGCUGUCCCUCCAGCUGGGGCUUUUUGGUGCGAAUGAUCCCACAGGACACCGCCCUGGACGGUGGCUGCCCCAUUUGGAGACGCCAGGCCCAAGCUAACCAUGGAAAAAACCGCCCCCAGCCUUCCUGCCAUGUGCUUCUGCAGCCAAAAAUAUUUUUAUAGUAAUAUCCAUCUAUUUACAACCUGGGAUCUGAGAGGGUUUUGUUUUUUGUUUGGCUUUUUUUUCCCCCUGAAGGAUGCUUUUUAAGGUACUUUGGCCUCUUCCACGCGCCUGUCUCAGCUCAGUCUUGUAAACAGUCUCCGGAAUCGCUUGGACCUUGACCGCAGCUCCCGGACCUGAAGGACAGCCGGCCCUGCACCCCCAGCCCAGUGCACAGGCCAGAGAAAGGUUGGGUUCCGUGUGAAUCGGGUGACCUCAAGGCAAGCAGCUUUGCUCCAUCACGAGGGAGCCUCGUUCCAAACCUCUGGGAGCUGAGGGCGGUUUGGCGCCCCGGCUCCUGUGGGACAGGCCCAAGGGCAUAGGGGCUGCUUUGUGGACAAAGCCCAGGAUUUCAGGGCGGCUCCAGGCAGGAGCUGGUGGGUUCCCUCCAGAGGCCUCCAAACAGAUGGUCCUGCCAAAACCCCAAGGCCACCUAGAAGGGGUCAUGGAUGCAGGGGGCGGCUCGGGGUUUAGAGGAUGCCAGGGGGCGUCCAGCGAGUCCCGGGUAGCAGAGAAGGGACCUGCCACACACUGCCAGCUCCACCCCCAGCUCUGCCGACAGAUUCCUGCCUUCCCGUCUCACAGAAGGCGAUGCUGAGGCUGAGGGGAGCCGGGACAAGCUCCAGGUCAUGCAGCAGCUCCAGCGCCGAGGUCAACAGAGUCACAAUCGAGGUGAACGGUCCGACCCUGUAGGGACGAGCACCCACCUCGGCCUCCUGCCUUCAGAGAGGCUCCACCUUCAGGCUCCCCACCAGUGUGCAGGUGUUCAGACCAGAGUCCAGAGCGAGGGCCAGGCUGCAGACUGGGGAAACGGGGUGCUGGGGCAGGAGCCGGGACCGGGAGGCCAAGCCCGGCUCCGCCACCGACUCUCACAUGGUUCUUUCUGAACCUCAGUCUCUCCGUCCAUAAAAUGGGAGGGAAGAGCCAGCUAAUCACAGAGGGGUUUUGUUUUUUGUUUUGGUUUUGGUUUGUUUUACAUGAAGUAAGAACCUAUCAACAGGGACCUCAGUGUUAACACAUCCCGGGCGCUGAGGAGAAAGGCCGAAGCCAAGAAUCCCAGCCUGGGGCACCGAUCCCAUCCCCAGCCUGGCUCUGACGACGGCGCUCCUAUCCAGACGCUGCCCACCAACCCAGAAGAGAAUGUGUUUUAUCGGGGCCAUUUAUUAUCGACAAUUGCUGCAUAAAUCUCCCCGAAUCCACAUACAUAUACAGAAGAGAUGGAUAAAUAAGACGGGCCGAGCCGCCGUGCUCCGUCUCACUGAUGUAGUCUUCCUGCCCCCAUAAAGAUAACGGGAGAUGAUUCAUAAUAUUUAUUUGACAGACAUGAUAUGAACCGUAAUAGCCUGUUGGGAUUAAAAAUAUCCGUACGUCUCUGUCAUCCAC